AUGGACUUCUCAAGGGAAAAGUUAUCUUAUAACAGUGCUAUGUGUGAAAGAAAUAUGGUUGCAAUAGGUACUUUGGAUGGUAUCAUUGAUACAAUUUCGACGAAUCAUCCAAUCUUACCUCUAAUUAGGUUACUGAAGUCUCAUGGAAAACUUAUAAUGGUUGGUGCACCAGAGAAGCUUUUGGAGCUUCUUGUCUUUCCAUUACUUCAAGGGAGAAAGUUGGUUGCUGCAAGUAUGAUUGGAGAGGGUUGA